ACGAACGCUGGCGGCAUGCCUAACACAUGCAAGUCGAACGCGACCUUCGGGUCUAGUGGCGCACGGGUGCGUAACGCGUGGGAACCUGCCCUUAGGUUCGGAAUAACUCCCCGAAAGGGGUGCUAAUACCGGAUAAUGUCUUCGGACCAAAGAUUUAUCGCCUUUGGAUGGGCCCGCGUUGGAUUAGCUAGUUGGUAGGGUAAAAGCCUACCAAGGUGACGAUCCAUAGCUGGUCUGAGAGGAUGAUCAGCCACACUGGGACUGAGACACGGCCCAGACUCCUACGGGAGGCAGCAGUGGGGAAUAUUGGACAAUGGGCGAAAGCCUGAUCCAGCAAUGCCGCGUGAGUGAUGAAGGCCUUAGGGUUGUAAAGCUCUUUUACCCGGGAUGAUAAUGACAGUACCGGGAGAAUAAGCUCCGGCUAACUCCGUG
rnacentral:rRNA from 1 species